GUUGUAGGACUGGACAUCUGAGUUACCAAGAAAUAACGUAGUCGAAUGAUAUGGGAAGAUCAGCCAGAGAAGGUAACAGCCCUGUAAACGAAACGUUGUUUCCUCAGUCCAGGAUCCUGAGUACGGCGGAACACGUGAAACUCCGUCGGAAUCCGGGAGGACCAUCUCCCAAGGCUAAAUACUCCCUAGUGACCGAUAGUGAACCAGUACCGUGAGGGAAAGGUGAAAAGCACCCCGGGAGGGGAGUGAAAGAGUACCUGAAACCAUGUGCCUACAAGUAGUCAGAGCCCGUUAACGGGUGAUGGCGUGCCUUUUGUAGAAUGAACCGGCGAGUUAUGCUAACGUGCGAGGUUAAGGCGGAAAGGCCGGAGCCGCAGCGAAAGCGAGUCUGAACAGGGCGAACGAGUACGUUGGUGUAAACCCGAAACCAGGUGACCUACCCAUGUCCAGGUUGAAGGUGCGGUAAAACGCACUGGAGGACCGAACCCGUGUAUGUUGAAAAAUGCUGGGAUGAGGUGUGGGUAGCGGUGAAAUUCCAAUCGAACUUGGAGAUAGCUGGUUCUCUCCGAAAUAGCUUUAGGGCUAGCCUCGGAGUUGAGAAUCGUGGAGGUAGAGCACUGUUUGGACUAGGGGCCCGUCUUGGGUUACUGAAUUCAGAUAAACUCCGAAUGCCACUGAUUUAUAUCCGGGAGUCAGACUGCGAGUGAUAAGAUCCGUAGUCGAAAGGGAAACAGCCCAGACCACCGAUUAAGGUCCCUAAAUAUGUGUUAAGUGGAAAAGGAUGUGGAAUUGCACAGACAACUAGGAUGUUGGCUCAGAAGCAGCCACCAUUUAAAGAGUGCGUAAUAGCUCACUAGUCGAGUGAUCCUGCGCCGAAAAUGUAACGGGGCUAAACACAUUACCGAAAUCGUGGAUGCAGCUUUGCUGCAUGGUAGGAGAGCGUUCUAAGGGCGGUGAAGCCGGACCGUAAGGACCGGUGGAGCGCUUAGAAGUGAGAAUGCCGGUAUGAGUAGCGAAAGACAGGUGAGAAUCCUGUCCACCGAAUGACUAAGGUUUCCUGGGGAAGGCUCGUCCUCCCAGGGUUAGUCGGGACCUAAGCUGAGGCCGAGAGGCGUAGGCGAUGGACAACGGGUUGAUAUUCCCGUACCGGUCUGAUUUGUUUGAGCAACGGAGGGACGCAGGAGGCUAACGAUGCGCACUAUCGGAUGUGCGUCCAAGCAGCAAGUCUGUCGGCGAGUCAAAUGCUUGCCGGCUCAAGGACAAGCUGUGACGGGUAUGAACGAUUUAUCGUUCUAAGUGAGUGACGUCACACUGCCAAGAAAAGCUUCUAGUUAGAAUCAGACCGCCCGUACCGCAAACCGACACAGGUAGUCGGGUCGAGAAGACCAAGGUGAGCGAGAGAACUCUCGUUAAGGAACUCGGCAAAAUGACCCCGUAACUUCGGGAGAAGGGGUGCUGAUCGCAAGAUCAGCCGCAGUGAAUAGGCCCAGGCGACUGUUUAUCAAAAACACAGGUUUCUGCAAAAUCGUAAGAUGAAGUAUAGGGGCUGACGCCUGCCCGGUGCUGGAAGGUUAAGAGGAUGGGUUAGCGCAAGCGAAGCUCAGAAUUGAAGCCCCAGUAAACGGCGGCCGUAACUAUAACGGUCCUAAGGUAGCGAAAUUCCUUGUCGGGUAAGUUCCG
rnacentral:rRNA from 1 species